CGUCAGGUAGCUCAGUGGUUUAGAGCAGUCGCCCGGCAAACGAAAAGACCCGGGUUCGAUUCCCGGUCUUGCGA
rfam:Harpegnathos saltator strain R22 G/1 HarSal_1.0_2.contig4337, whole genome shotgun sequence.